GAUGAACGCUAGCGGCAGGCUUAACACAUGCAAGUCGAGGGGUAUAGUUCUUCGGAAUUAGAGACCGGCGCACGGGUGCGUAACGCGUAUGCAAUCUACCUUUCACAGAGGGAUAGCCCAGAGAAAUUUGGAUUAAUACCUCAUAGUAUAGCAGUUUCGCAUGAAACCACUAUUAAAGUCACAACGGUGAAAGAUGAGCAUGCGUCCCAUUAGCUAGUUGGUAAGGUAACGGCUUACCAAGGCAACGAUGGGUAGGGGUCCUGAGAGGGAGAUCCCCCCACACUGGUACUGAGACACGGACCAGACUCCUACGGGAGGCAGCAGUGAGGAAUAUUGGACAAUGGGCGCGAAGUCCUGAUCCAGCCAUGCCGCGUGCAGGAUGACGGUCCUAUGGAUUGUAAACUGCUUUUAUACAGGAAGAAACACUGGUUCGUGAACCAGCUUGACGUACUGUAAGAAUAAGGAUCGGCUAAACUCCGUGCCAGCAGCCG
rnacentral:rRNA from 1 species